rnacentral:misc_RNA from 1 species
UGUAAUUCGGUCAUGCCCCUGCAUGAACUGUACGAAACCCACCCUGUGUACCGAACCCCGUUGCUUCCCGCUGGGGGCCCAGGGCAGCGCUUUGGAGGAUUUUGCCCCUUGUCCCAUGUGAAUAAUUACUGGGUGGCGGGGGCACCACCGAUGGUGCUUUAACUGGAUUCAUGUUCCUGGCGGGAGGGUGAAAAUAACCUCCGAGUUUUACUUAUAGAAUCUUGUCUGAAGAAAUUGAACCUGUGUAAUGUUUAAAACUUUCAGCAACGGAUCUCUUGGUUCUCGCAUCGAUGAAGAACGCAGCGAAAUGCGAUAAGUAGUGUGAAUUGCAGAAUUCCGUGAAUCAUCGAAUCUUUGAACGCACAUUGCGCCUUCUGGUAUUCCGGGAGGCAUGCCUGUUCGAGAGUCAUUGACAACCACUUCGAUCCCAUUCACUGUGAAAGUGAGGUGCCGGUCGGGUCCUGGUGGAUGAGGGGAUGUGUUGCUCCGAACCCCAAUGACAUGGGGCAAACAAUACCCUCCCCGCCGAAAUUCAGAGGCAGUCCGUUGUGAGUGAAUAAAUGAACCCACAAAUGUUUAUGGCGUUGUAUAGAUGGCUCUCCAAUUGUUGAGCAACUGUUCGCUUGUAACAACCCUGGGAUCGCACACGCAGGAUGGACUUGCCUUCCGAAGAAUGGAACCACGAGUUCCGCAAAUAAAAGGUUGACCUCGGAUCAGGUAGGGAUACCCGCUGAACUUAAGCAUAUCAAU